rnacentral:lncRNA from 1 species
UCCAUCCAAACUCUCAAACCUUAUUCCCACAAUCCAACCCAUCUCAUCUCUUAUUUGUUUUGUUCGUCGUCGUCCCACACUCCCACUUAUCUCUCUCUUCUGUUUUUUCUUAUCUUUUUUUUUUGGGUUCGAUUUCUCCAGCCACAACACAACGCCGCCGCUGCAAAUUUUAAUCCGUCUCAUUCGGCAAAAACCACCCUCUGGUUCUCUCUUGAAGCUUUUUUUAGUUAUAGAAUAUGUAUUCCUAAAUUUUCUUUGUCUUCUUGAUUUUGGGCUUUUUAUUUGUUCAUAAAGUUUUAUUUAUUUAUUUUCACGGCGGCUGUGCGGAUGUGUUCGGUGUUUUUGACAAUUGUGCGGAUGUGUUCGGUGAGCAAGGCGGAUUUAGGGCUGCGGGAUAGGAAUUUGAAGUUUGUUUCCGAAUUUGGGUGAUUUACUCCUAAUUGGUUUUAUUCCUGAUUGUUUGAAUUUAGGUAGGAAUAUUUAUUCGAAUUUGGGUGAUUGGGGGCAGCAAGGCGGUUGGUUUUUUGUAAUUUCGAUCUCCUUAUUUUCUCCCCGACAUUAAAGGCUAUUGAGAAUGGAACACAAUAAAGUUACUGUUUGCUUCCAUAAUCUUAAUAAUAUCAUCAAACUCAAAUUGGUUCCUUUUGCCCACUAAAAAAAUAUUCAGUUCUUUUGGUAUCACUUCAUAAGUUAUGAUUUCCUUAAUCUUCAACUCUUGAUUAUCUUUCCUUAACUGUUUUUUUUUUCUAUAAUGGAUUUUGGAGUAUGUUUGUUCACAUAUGCUUGCCACGGAGUGGUUUUCAAAUAAUUUGUGACUGGAAAGGUGGAGUGGUUUUCAAUAAUUAUUUACAGAUUUUUUAUAGUGGUUUUUAAUAAUUAUGUACAGAUUUUUAUAGUGCUUUUCAAUAUUUUACAUAAACCACUAUAAAAAUCUGUAAAUUAUAGUGGUUUUCAAUAAUUAUUUUACAGAUUUUUGUAUAACUGUAUAUACAGAGUGG